rnacentral:sRNA from 1 species
GCCAGAUGCAGUGGCGCCCACCUGUUAUCCCAGAGGCUCAGGAGGCUGAGACAGGAGGAUGGCAAGUUCAAAGCCAGCCUCAGCAAUUUAGGGAGGCUCUCAGCAACUUAGCCAGACCCUGUCUCUA